UACGAAGGGGGCUAGCGUUGUUCGGAUUUACUGGGCGUAAAGCGCACGUAGGCGGAUUGUUAAGUCGGGGGUGAAAUCCUGGAGCUCAACUUCAGAAUUGCCUUCGAUACUGGCUUUCUAGAGGCUGGAAGAGGUUAGUGGAAUUCCCAGUGUAGAGGUGAAAUUCGUAGAUAUUGGGAAGAACACCAGUGGCGAAGGCGGCUAACUGGUCCAGAUCUGACGCUGAGGUGCGAAAGCGUGGGGAGCAAACGGG
rnacentral:rRNA from 1 species